rnacentral:rRNA from 1 species
UACGUAGGGUGCGAGCGUUGUCCGGAAUUAUUGGGCGUAAAGAGCUCGUAGGCGGCCUGUUGCGUCGGUUGUGAAAGCCCGGGGCUUAACCCCGGGUCUGCAGUCGAUACGGGCAGGCUAGAGUUCGGUAGGGGAGAUCGGAAUUCCCGGUGUAGCGGUGAAAUGCGCAGAUAUCGGGAGGAACACCAAUGGCGAAGGCAGCUCGCUGGGACGGUACUGACGCUGAUGCGCGAAAGCCAGGGGAGCGAACGGG